rnacentral:rRNA from 1 species
UACAGAGGUCUCAAGCGUUGUUCGGAUUCAUUGGGCGUAAAGGGUGCGUAGGCGGCGCGGUAAGUCGGGUGUGAAAUCUCGGAGCUUAACUCCGAAACUGCAUUCGAUACUGCCGUGCUUGAGGACUGGAGAGGAGACUGGAAUUUACGGUGUAGCGGUGAAAUGCGUAGAUAUCGUAAGGAAGACCAGUGGCGAAGGCGGGUCUCUGGACAGUUCCGAUCGACGCUGAGGCACGAAGGCCAGGGGAGCAAACGGG